AGUUUCAUUCAGCUUCCUUCACCUUCCAUUCCUGAGUGCUCUUCUUUAUUGUCCACAAAACAAGGGAAAUUUCAUGCUGAUAAACUGCACUUGCUUCACCGAUUCCAGGCCAAUCAUCUGGCAAAUCAUCAAUUUCAUUGAAGUUUCUCUUUUACAUUUGGUUUUUGAAUAAUCACGAUUUUAUGCGGAUGAUGUUCCCAUUAGGGAGAUAAGGAGAACUUCAGCAAUGAAGUGCGAUUUUUCCUUCCAAACUGAUGUCAUUGUAUUCUACAAUAUGGGAUGCCUAAAUUUGGGCCACUAAUAGGGGCAAGUACAAAGUAGAUUAUAGGAAACUCUUCGCUACAGCUUCAAUCUGAACUUAAUAUAGUUAAUUUGUUCAUAGUUCGCCUCCGCUUUCGUCCGCCUUCAGUUCUGCUCCUCUUCUCUGUUGUUGCAGCCUAUUUUAAAGGUAAAUUUUAACCUGAUUUUAGUGAAAGUUUGGUUUUGUUUGUUUAAUUGUAAUCAGUGAUUGAUAUUAACCUAAGUUUAGUGCUGGAAUUGAAAUUCAUAAUUAACCAAACUAAUGUAACCUCUUAAGUGUUGGGAUUGAUAUUUUGGUGAAAGUUUGGGUUUUGUUAGCCUAAUUGUAAUCAGUACUUGUUUCAAUUGUAAUUGUAGUUAGUACUCGUUGAUUUUGAUUCUUAAAUUAUCCAUGUCAUUAAAAGAAUUCAGUAAUUGUUCUCGGUUUGUUUCUCUUAAUUAUUGUUCUUCUCCUUUUCAAUUGAGUUGAACAAUUGCAGUUUAUUUGUUCUUCAGUUGCAGUAGGUUUCUAUUUCAACACAACAUAAGUACUAAUUAAAUAACCAACAAGGAUUAAAAAGACAUUAGCAAAUAAAAUGAAUUUUAUUUAAUCCUCAAAACCUUCAAUUGCAGUAGGUUCUUCAAUUGUUAGUAGAUACUUCUUAUUCUUGUUGUAGUAACUUAGUUCUUCAAAUUUCUUCUUUUGGUAUGUUGGGUAAUUAGGUAAUUAACACUUUGUUUGUUCGUGUUCUUGUUGUAAUAAGUUAUCUUUAAAGUUAGUAAAUUUCAAACUUCUAUUCUGAUUUAUUCACUUUGCAAAAUUCAGUUAGUUCUUGUUCUUGUUGUCGUAAGUUAUUCAAUGUCUUUUAUAAUUAUACAAUACAAUUCAUAAAUAUUCUUUGGUGUCAUGUUUAUCAAUUGUUACAUUUUGAAUUUAGGAAAUGACUUGGUCAAAGUAAAUGAUCGUUCAUCCUCCUUUUAUGUAAAUGGUUGUUUUUAAAAUUUACCCUUUCUAAUGUAAGUGAAGACGUCAAAGAGAGUACUAUUAGGUGUCCUUGUAAUAGUUGUGGCAACAUAUUUUUCAAAACAAAAUGUGAUGUAAGAUUAGACUUGCUCAAGAAAGGAAUAUAUGAGAAAUACACUUAUGGGAUCUUCAUGGGGAAAAACUAAAUGUCCCAAGUGACAAGGAAAAUUCCAACGAGUUUGAUGACACUGAUAAUGUUAUCACAAUGUUGCAAGAUGCGUGCGGAGUAGGGGGUAUGAAUUUUGGGAGUAAUGCAGAGGUUUUAAAGAUGAAGUACCAAAACCGAUUACUUGAAUUGUUAAUUAAUCAUGUCCAACAUGGAUGUCUAGCAAAUUCUUGUAAGUUAUUUUAAAGAGCCAUCAACUUUCGAUUCAAAAAAUGACCACGUUUGUUGUUCAGAGGUAUAUUCAAAUACUUCUUCAAUAAACGUGGGUUUAGCUUGGGUUUUGAUGGCCUGUUUGCUGGGUCAGUCACCAAUGAGUCAUCCACAAUGACCAGCAACAACUCCAGCAACGCCGGCCAGAGCACCAGCUACAGUAGGGUCCAGCAACGGCUGCGCUGGUUCUUUACGGCAGGUUCCAGGCUUUUGGAACAACGGCUGGUUCUUCUUGCCUGGUUCAGCAGUGACGGUGUACAGCCCCUUUUCCGGUGGUCGUGAUAGCUUCCUUCCUCUCCUAAGCCUGCAGCCCUUCACGGAGCUUGGCCAGCACCAAUAGGUUGGUUCUCUCAAACGCCAGCACGAACAGUUGGUUUCGGUUUGGCAAGAAUUCAGCAGCCAACAGGGGCGUCCGGGUGGAUUCCAGUCAGCCUACGGGUGAAAUUGUGGGGUACCUCUUGAACCAUAUUCGUCCUGCUCAAAAUAUGGCCCAAGUACAGGGGAAAAACUACAAGUUGUUCCCACUGAAGCUGUUCCCACUGAUCCUACUAUUCCUACUGCUCCUACUUAAAACAAAUCUUGAGCAUCUAAGUUUGGAACGUGUUGAGAACAACAAUCCACACCACGAGCCAGCUACUCCAACCCAAGAGGUACGCAAGAAAACCAAAGGCCACACAGCAUGUUCAAACAGUCAAGACACUGCCCAACAGUCUGCUUACGACCAGGCCACCUUACUUUGUUGCCUGAGACUUAACCACGAGCUUCAAAGGGGUGACCAUGGAAGAUAUGACAUCUUGGCACAUGGACCGAGCCAUCAAGGGCCUAGGACCCUACUGACAAUAAUCACAGAAGCCAGGAGUACCAGCACAAGGUGCCCCAGUCACUAGCCACUGCGAAGAAGGCCAUCCAGUACUUAGUCAUUUUUGUCUGAUUUCUGUUUUUAAAAUAAGCCUAAUAUUGGGCACGUGUAUAAACUAGCCGUUGUAAUGAUAGAAAGCUAUAAAUAGGUAGCUAGGCUUGAUGUAAGGGACAAUUAACGAAGUAAUAAGAGUUUCAUUCAGAUUUUCAUUGAAUCAA